rnacentral:rRNA from 1 species
GACGAACGCUGGCGGCGUGCCUAACACAUGCAAGUCGAACGGGGUUGUUCCUUCGGGGACAACUUAGUGGCGAACGGGUGAGUAACGCGUGAGGAACCUGCCUUUCAGUGGGGGACAACAGUUGGAAACGACUGCUAAUACCGCAUAAUGUUGUCGGAUGGCAUCAUCUGACAACCAAAGCUUUAUGUGCUGAAAGAUGGCCUCGCGUCUGAUUAGAUAGUUGGUGAGGUAACGGCUCACCAAGUCGACGAUCAGUAGCCGGACUGAGAGGUUGAACGGCCACAUUGGGACUGAGAUACGGCCCAG